rnacentral:rRNA from 1 species
GGAUGCGAUCAUACCAGCACUAAAGCACCGGAUCCCAUCAGAACUCCGAAGUUAAGCGUGCUUGGGCGAGAGUAGUACUAGGAUGGGUGACCACCUGGGAAGUCCUCGUGUUGCAUCCC